GAACUAUGUUAAAUAAAUAUUUAUUUAUUAUUAAUUAAUUCUAAUCCUAAACUUCGUCAAAUACAGGGGAAUAUCAAAUAUAUUCUAUACUAUUAUAUCAUAUUAUAUUUAAUCUCAUUCUAUCCCAUUCUAUCUCAUCAAAUUUAACGAACACAUCCCACGCAUCGAAAUUAUAAUGCCUCAAGCUGGGAACAAGUAGACUGUGCGCUCCCCUCUGACGUGGCAGCUCCUUCACGUGCAUGGCAGCAAUAACUCCUAAUCUGGGCUCUGUAUGCCAUUCGCAGCACGCGCCUUCUAUACGUUUAGCAGCCUCUCUUUCUUGCUCAGGACCAUACUCAUUAAUUAAUUAUCUUCAUCUGCUUCAACACUGAGUGGUAUACAAAUGUUCUGGAGUACUUUCUUAUUAAUAAAGUGUUUAUUAAGCGAUGAGGGCUAGGAUUUCCUCAAUAGACAAUUUAACCAAAUUUUUUAUAAGUGUAAUUUAAUAUAUCUAUAUGGAGUAUGGAGAGAGCGACCGCAGGGGCAAAUUUAUGUCAUUCCUGAUCUCAUCGCCUUCUUUAAGUUGGUCAUCAAGAUCACUAAAAACAAAUUGGUCAAGGUCUUAGCUGUGAUGGACUACCAGGUCAUAAUAGUUUAAUAUAAAAGUUUUUUUUUUUAAUAGAUUUUGUUAAGUAACAUUUAAAGUGAAUGUUCAUUUAGUUCCCUAUAUUUGGAGUUAAGUG
rnacentral:lncRNA from 1 species